rnacentral:rRNA from 1 species
AACGAACGCUGGCGGCAUGCCUAACACAUGCAAGUCGAACGAGACCUUCGGGUCUAGUGGCGCACGGGUGCGUAACGCGUGGGAAUCUGCCCUUCGGUUCGGAACAACAGUUAGAAAUGACUGCUAAUACCGGGAUAAUGACGUAAAGUCCAAAGAUUUAUCGCCGAAGGAUGAGCCCGCGUAAGAUUAGGUAGUUGGUGGGGUAAUGGCCUACCAAGCCGACGAUCUUUAGCUGGUCUGAGAGGAUGAUCAGCCACACUGGGACGUGAGACACGGCCCAGACUCCUACGGGAGGC